AGCGAACGUUUGCGGCGGGCCUAACACAUGCAAGUCGAACGGGUUGGCAACAACCAGUGGCGCACGGGUGCGUAACACGUAGGUAAUCUACCCUCAAGUUCGGGAUAACGAUCUGAAAGGAUCGCUAAUACCGGAUGUGUUCCGAAAGGAAGAAAGACCCGCAAGGGUCGCUAGAGGACGAGCCUGCGGCCCAUCAGCUAGUUGGUGAGGUAAUGGCUCACCAAGGCUAAGACGGGUAGCUGGUCUGAGAGGAUGAUCAGUCACACUGGAACUGAGACACGGUCCAGACUCCUACGGGAGGCAGCAGUGGGGAAUAUUGCGCAAUGGGCGAAAGCCUGACGCAGCCACGCCGCGUGAGCGAUGAAGGCCUCGGUCGUAAAGACGUCUGUGGGGAGGAGAAGAAUAAAGACCUGUGAAGAGCAGGCCGUUGACGGUAGUCUCCUUAGCAAGCACCGGCUAACUCCGUGCCAGCAGCCGCGGU
rnacentral:rRNA from 1 species